UACGGAGGGUGCGAGCGUUGUCCGGAAUCACUGGGCGUAAAGGGCGCGUAGGCGGCCUGAUAAGUAGGGGGUGAAAUCUUGCGGCUUAACCGCAAGGCUGCCUUCUAAACUGUCAGGCUCGAGCACAGUAGAGGCAGGUGGAAUUCCCGGUGUAGCGGUGGAAUGCGUAGAGAUCGGGAAGAACAUCAGUGGCGAAGGCGGCCUGCUGGGCUGUUGCUGACGCUGAGGCGCGGCAGCGUGGGGAGCAAACAGG
rnacentral:rRNA from 1 species